GGUUGGGUGGCCGAGCGGUUUAAGGCUCUAGUCUUGAAAACUAGCGACGGGGUAACCCGUCCGUGGGUUCGAAUCCCACCCCAACCG
rnacentral:tRNA from 1 species